AUUGAACGCUGGCGGCAGGCCUAACACAUGCAAGUCGAACGAGUGGCGGACGGGUGAGUAAUGUCUGGGAAACUGCCUGAUGGAGGGGGAUAAAUAAUGGAAACGGUAGCUAAUACCGCAUACCAUCGGAUGUGCCCAGAGGGGAGUCGCUAGUAGGUGGGGUAAAGGUUCACCUAGGCGACGAGCCCUAGCUGGUCUGAGAGGAUGACAAGCCACACUGGAACUGAUACCCGGUCCAGACUCCUACGGGAGGCAGCAUGGGGGAAUAGUGCACAAUGGGCGCAAGCCUGAUGCAGCCAUGCCGCGUGUAUGAAGAAGGCCUUCGGGUUGUAAAGUACUUUCAGCGGGGAGGCGUUACCCGCAGAAGAAGCACCGGCUAACUCCGUGCCAGCCGCCGCGGUAAUAC
rnacentral:rRNA from 1 species